ACUGCCAGAAAAUGAGAGGACUUUAUAUUAAGCAGAUUUUGGGGCAUGGGAGUUGGACCUGGAGCUUGCUCCCUCCGCUCCACGCAUCAUCCUGGUAUUGCAGUGCUUCCGGGAAUGGUGCACCCCCU